rnacentral:tRNA from 1 species
CAAAGUGUAGCUUAAACCAAAGCACCUGGCUUACACCCAGGAGACUUCACACACAAUGAACACUUUGAACAAGUGCU